UAAACCAACACUCGAAAACAACAUUUGGAAUUACCAAUACAAAACAUUCUAGAAAGAAAAAAAAAGCUUUACAUACUGGGUUGCAAAAACGAAACAACUUGGUUGGUACAUAAAAAGUUAGUUACUUAUUAAUUGUUAAUUAAAAAGAAGAAUGAAGACAAAGUGCAAUGAAGAGAUUGGAUAAUUAAUAUUAUUUGGAAGAAUAGAUUUAGAAGGAAAGUAAGUGGAGAAGAUUGUAAAUAGAAAUAAUUAAGGGAUCUAUACUUUAGUUUGUUUUCUUUUUUCCAUUAGCUAGCUAGCAAAUACGAGUGUUCAAUGUGUGAAAUAUGACUUGUCCCCCACCGGAAGGGCUGUUAAUAUG
rnacentral:lncRNA from 1 species